rnacentral:misc_RNA from 1 species
UCACCAACGUAUUCGUUGAGCUGAAAUUUAAGCCAUGACCAGAAAGAAAUUCAGAGGCCACAACUAUCACCGUUUACUCGCUGGUACUCGGUCUCUGUCUAUGCGGAAAUAGUGUUAUCCAAAUUUCCACAUAGAAAAUGGGCACUACUCUUAUUGAACAUAUACAUAAGCUCGAUGGGAAAGGGAGAAACCCCCAGAAACAAUAGAAAUGGGUGGCAUGGGAACGACCU